AAGACUUGCAGAGAUAUCGGGACAGAUUUCUGACGAGAACAAUCUUCUCACUCCAGCCAACAGAGGUUGAUCAUCGAUUAAGAUUUCAUCAAACGUUGCAGUAGUUUUCUGAAACAUAUGAAAAUUUCUUUACAUUUCUUUUGAUUAAGGGGUGGAACUUAAUAUGAGAUUCGUUAACAAAACUAAGAUAUUGCCGUGAGAAACUUGUUUCUUUCUCAGAAAGGAAGGUGUGGUUACUUAAACCUUGUCGUU